AGCGAACGCUGGCGGCAGGCCUAACACAUGCAAGUCGAACGAAGUCUUCGGACUUAGUGGCGGACGGGUGAGUAACACGUGGGAACGUGCCUUUAGGUUCGGAAUAACUCAGGGAAACUUGUGCUAAUACCGAAUGUGCCCUUCGGGGGAAAGAUUUAUCGCCUUUAGAGCGGCCCGCGUCUGAUUAGCUAGUUGGUGAGGUAAAGGCUCACCAAGGCUACGAUCAGUAGCUGGUCUGAGAGGAUGACCAGCUACAUUGGGACUGAGACACGGCCCAAACUCCUACGGGAGGCAGCAGUGGGGAAUCUUGCGCAAUGGGCGAAAGCCUGACGCAGCCAUGCCGCGUGGAUGAAGAAGGUCUUAGGAUUGUAAAAUCCUUUCACCGGUGAAGAUAAUGACUGUAGCCGGAGAAGAAGCCCCGGCUAACUUCGUGCCAGCCGCCGCCGUAAUAC
rnacentral:rRNA from 1 species